CCUACGGGAGACAGCAGUGAGGAAUAUUGGUCAAUGGACGAGAGUCUGAACCAGCCAAGUAGCGUGAAGGAUGACUGCCCUCUGGGUUGUAAACUUCUUUUAUAUGGGAAUAAAAUGUUCCACGUGUGGGAUUUUGUAUGUACCAUAUGAAUAAGGAUCGGCCAACUCCGUGCCAGCAGCCGCGGUAAUACGGAGGAUCCGAGCGUUAUCCGGAUUUAUUGGGUUUAAAGGGAGCGUAGGUGGAUUGUUAAGUCAGUUGUGAAAGGUUGCGGCUCAACCGUAAAAUUGCAGUUGAAACUGGCAGUCUUGAGUACAGGAGAGGUAAGCGGAAUUCGUGGUGUAGCGGUGAAAUGCUUAGAUAUCACGAAGAACACCGAUGGCGAAGGCAGUUCACUGGACUGCAACUGACACUGAGGCUCGAAAGUGUGGGGAUCAAACAGGAUUAGAUACCCUUGUAGUC
rnacentral:rRNA from 1 species